rnacentral:rRNA from 1 species
GAUGAACGCUGGCGGCGUGCCUAAUACAUGCAAGUCGAGCGAACAGAUGAGGAUCUUGCUCCUCUGACGUUAGCGGCGGGCGGGUGAGUAACAGGAGGAUAACCUACCUAUAAGACUGGGAUAACUUCGGGAAACCGGAUCUAAUACCGGAUAAGAUAUUGAACCUGAGGGUUCAUUAGUGAAAACGGGUUUUGCUGACACUUAUACGUGGAUCCGCGCCGCAUUAGCUAGUUGGUAAGGUAACGGCCUACCAAGGCAACGAUGCGUAGCCGAUCUGAGAGGAUGAUCGGCCACACUGGAACUGAGACACGGUCCAGACUCCUACGGGAGGCAGCAGUAGGGAAUCUUCCGCAAUGGGCGAAAGCCUGACGGAGCAACGCCGCGUGAGUGAAGAAGGUCUUCGGAUCGUAAAACUCUGUUAUUAGGGAAGAACAAAUGUAUAAGUAACUAUGCACGUCUUGACGGUACCUAAUCAGAAAGCCACGGCUAACUACGUG